rnacentral:rRNA from 1 species
CCUACGGGUGGCAGCAGUGAGGAAUAUUGGUCAAUGGGCGCGAGCCUGAACCAGCCAAGUAGCGUGAAGGAUGACUGCCCUACGGGUUGUAAACUUCUUUUAUAAAGGAAUAAAGUGAGGCACGUGUGCCUUUUUGUAUGUACUUUAUGAAUAAGGAUCGGCUAACUCCGUGCCAGCAGCCGCGGUAAUACGGAGGAUCCGAGCGUUAUCCGGGUUUAUUGGGUUUAAAGGGAGCGUAGAGGUGUUUUUAAGUCAGGUGUGAAAGUUUGCGGCUCAACCGUAAAAUUGCAAUUGAUACUGGCAGCCUUGAGUACAGUUGAGGUAGGCGGAAUUCGUUGUGUAGCGGUGAAAUGCUUAGAUAUCACGAAGAACUCCGAUUGCGAAGGCAGCUUACUAAACUGCCACUGACAUUGAUGCUCGAAAGUGUGGGUAUCAAACAGGAUUAGAUACCCGAGUAGUC